UCACUUUUCCUUGCUACUUAAAUCAACUCUUUCCCAAUUCAUAAUCCUCAGUCUUAGCAAAGAAUGGGUCGUGUCAGAGCUGCUUUCAUGCUUCUUCUCUUUGUCUAUGGGAGUAUUUCAAUAGGGAUGAGUCCUGGAAGGGCCAUAGUUUGCCCUCUUUAUUGCUUGGAUGUAGAUUACAUGACUUGCCCUUCUUCUGGGGAAGAGAAGCUUAGCCCUUCCUGCAACUGCUGCUUGGCUCCCAAGAAUUGCACUCUUCACCUUUCUGAUGGUUCCUCAAUUUAUUGCAAGCCUCAUGAAUUCUAAGACUUGGUACUUGUACAAUAUUAGAAUUUAAACUUACAAACUCUCGAUUUUAAAUUUAUAUAUAUAUUUAUAUGCGUGUUAAUUUCUAA